rnacentral:rRNA from 1 species
UCCAGACUCCUACGGGAGGCAGCAGUGGGGAAUAUUGCGUAAUGGGCGAAAGCCUGACGCAGCGACGCCGCGUGAGGGAUGAAGGUCUUCGGAUCGUAAACCUCUGUCAGCAGGGAAGAACGGUCACUGUGCUAAUCAGCAGUGAAUUGACGGUACCUGCAAAGGAAGCACCGGCUAACUCCGUGCCAGCAGCCGCGGUAAUACGGAGGAUCCGAGCGUUAUCCGGAUUCAUUGGGUUUAAAGGGUGCGUAGGUUGUUUUAUAAGUUAGCGGUGAAAUACCGAUGCUCAACAUCGGGGCUGCCGCUAAUACUGUAGGACUAGAGAUCGGAUGCAGCAGGCGGAAUGUGUAGUGUAGCGGUGAAAUGCAUAGAUAUCAGGAGGAACACCGGCGGCGAAGGCGGCCUGCUGGACCGCGACUGACGUUGAGGCUCGAAAGCGUGGGGAGCGAACAGGAUUAGAUACCCUCGUA